rnacentral:rRNA from 1 species
AACGAACGCUGGCGGCGUGCUUAACACAUGCAAGUCGAACGCGAAAGCUUCCUUCGGGAAGCGAGUAGAGUGGCGCACGGGUGAGUAACACGUGGAUAAUCUGCCCGACGAUCUGGGAUAACAUUCCGAAAGGAGUGCUAAUACCGGAUAAGCCCACAGGCUCUUCGGAGUUUGCGGGAAAAGGUGGGGACCUUCGGGCCUACCGUCGUCGGAUGAGUCCGCGUCCCAUUAGCUAGUUGGCGGGGUAAUGGCCCACCAAGGCGACGAUGGGUAGCUGGUCUGAGAGGAUGAUCAGCCACACUGGAACUGAGACACGGUCCAGACUCCUACGGGAGGCAGCAGUGGGGAAUUUUGCGCAAUGGGGGAAACCCUGACGCAGCAACGCCGCGUGAGUGAUGAAGGCUUUCGGGUCGUAAAGCUCUGUCAGGGGGGAAGAAACUCUUGUGGUCGAACAGGCCACAGGAUUGACGGUACCCUCAAAGGAAGCACCGGCUAACUCCGUGCCAGCAGCCGCGGUAAUACGGAGGGUGCGAGCGUUGUUCGGAAUUAUUGGGCGUAAAGCGCGUGCAGGCGGCCUGUUAAGUCUGAUGUG